UACGUAGGGUGCAAGCGUUAAUCGGAAUUACUGGGCGUAAAGCGUGCGCAGGCGGUUGUGUAAGUCAGAUGUGAAAUCCCCGGGCUCAACCUGGGAACUGCAUUCGAGACUGCCUUGCUAGAGUAUGGGAGAGGGAAGUGGAAUUUCCGGUGUAGCGGUGAAAUGCGUAGAUAUCGGAAGGAACAUCAGUGGCGAAGGCGACUUCCUGGACCAAUACUGACACUCAGGUGCGAAAGCGUGGGGAGCAAACAGG
rnacentral:rRNA from 1 species